rnacentral:lncRNA from 1 species
CAUCAAAGCUCAGUCUAACGACACCGCUGGAGCAAGUCCACCUCAGGGUUGAGCCACAGGAAGAUGUCCAGAGCCAGGGUGAUGAUGAUCACCAGAGUAAACACAAAGACAGCCGCCAUGGACGCAAUGUCGCUGGACUCGACUGUGUCUCACUGGAAAUAAAGGACCACCAGAAGGAAUUCACCUUCCAGGCAGGGAUGAAGUCCGAAAUCGAGUUUGUCCUUAACGGUACGUGCAGGUGCGAAACCACUGUGUACCUGCACAUGAAAGGUAUUUCUGGAGAGACAAAGCCGAUUUGUAAGUUUGUACUGAGGGAAAAUUGUGUCACACACUACAGCGACUGCAACUGCGCUGCUGCUGUUGUCGACUCCCGACAUGGAUACAAGAUGUGGAGAAAAUUUCAUCCGCAAGACAGCGGGACUGGGUCUUUGAAGUGUGGGGUACAAAUGUACAAACGAUAAUCUCCAUAAGAGUCAAAGGCAACGGGGUACCGAGGACAACCUGUUUUCUGAUGGAAGUUACGACAGUUUUUCUGUUCUCCAAAGCAAAGGGUUCGUUUUAUUUUCCUUGUGUUUCAACGUCGUCUGCACUAUCACCAUCGCUGUUGUCGUCGUCACCUUCAUCGUUCGUCGUCAGCGCAGAUUCAGCAGGUCAAGACAGAGCAACGAUGCUGGUGAUGAACACUUGUACGCCAAUAAUGUUACACUAAACUCGGAAUCGAAGAGCCACCCAGCAUGUGGACAGACACCUGAAGAGUACCUGGUCCCUUUUUCAAGAUCCAACGUCUACGUCAUGUCCUACGGCAAGGAAACGGCUCUUAGAUGAGAUGACAACCUUUCAGCUCCAAGU